CGUUUCUGUUUCAUUUUCAUUUAGGUUCAACUGGCGGGAAACUCAAACCGAGUUUUACCUGAGGACUGUUUUUUGCGUAAUGAUCACUUUAUCACAGGACAGCUGGAGACCGCAUGCUGUUUCCAAGGGUUUCUGCCUGGAGGAGGACAACGAGGUGAGAGGUGGGGGAGUCGCCGAGCCUGCAAACUCAACCUACAUUUUUAUGCUCCUUCCACUUAGAAGCAGCGUCAUCUCGGAGGAUGCGAAACGACGCCCUUUCCCGGUUUUCCAGGAAUAUGGGGCCUUCCAGGGAAUUAAGAAGCAUCCAAUCAGAGGAGGUUUGGUGGUUUUCAAAUAA
ensembl:lncRNA